GGGGCCGACCGGUAUUGACAGGAUGAGCGGUGGCGUAUUAGCAUGCAGGCUCAUGGGGUGAGAGCCUUGAUAGAUAGCUCCAAAACACAACUGGCGAAGAACAUUCUUACGCUAUGGCGGCUUAAUUUAACUUAACGUUAAGUUAGCAUAGGGAUCCACGGCAAGGCCGGGACCCGGCCAUCAUCGCACUGUUUGUUUGUUUUGCACAAACAGGUUUGCGGUGUAGACGAGCAAAACUGGUGUAAACAGGGUUGUGAUGUUUACAUAAGACUCAAAUGCAACUACGAAUAUACUGGGCUGUUUGUGGCCAGGUACAUUCCGACAACCAAUCACAAAAUAAGCAUGUAGAAAAUACGAUCUACUUCCUUCUCUGGACGAGAGUUCGAAUCUCUCCGGCUCCACCU
rnacentral:tmRNA from 1 species